rnacentral:rRNA from 1 species
AGUGAACGCUGGCGGCAGGCCUAACACAUGCAAGUCGAACGGCAGCACAGAGAGCUUGCUCCUUGGGUGGCGAGUGGCGGACGGGUGAGGAAUACAUCGGAAUCUGCCUAUUUGUGGGGGAUAACGUAGGGAAACUUACGCUAAUACCGCAUACGACCUACGGGUGAAAGCGGAGGACCUUCGGGCUUCGCGCAGAUAGAUGAGCCGAUGUCGGAUUAGCUAGUUGGCGGGGUAAAGGCCCACCAAGGCGACGAUCCGUAGCUGGUCUGAGAGGAUGAUCAGCCACACUGGAACUGAGACACGGUCCAGACUCCUACGGGAGGCAGCAGUGGGGAAUAUUGGACAGUGGGCGCAAGCCUGAUCCAGCCAUGCCGCGUGGGUGAAGAAGGCCUUCGGGUUGUAAAGCCCUUUUGUUGGGAAAGAAAAGCAGUCGGUUAAUACCCGAUUGUUCUGACGGUACCCAAAGAAUAAGCACCGGCUAACUUCGUGCCAGCCGCCGCGGUAA